AUUGAACGCUGGCGGCAGGCCUAACACAUGCAAGUCGAGCGGAUGAAGGGAGCUUGCUCCUGGAUUCAGCGGCGGACGGGUGAGUAAUGCCUAGGAAUCUGCCUGGUAGUGGGGGAUAACGUCCGGAAACGGGCGCUAAUACCGCAUACGUCCUGAGGGAGAAAGUGGGGGAUCUUCGGACCUCACGCUAUCAGAUGAGCCUAGGUCGGAUUAGCUAGUUGGUGGGGUAAAGCCUACCAAGGCGACGAUCCGUAACUGGUCUGAGAGGAUGAUCAGUCACACUGGAACUGAGACACGGUCCAGACUCCUACGGGAGGCAGCAGUGGGGAAUAUUGGACAAUGGGCGAAAGCCUGAUCCAGCCAUGCCGCGUGUGUGAAGAAGGUCUUCGGAUUGUAAAGCACUUUAAGUUGGGAGGAAGGGCAGUAAGUUAAUACCUUGCUGUUUUGACGUUACCAACAGAAUAUGCACCGGCUAACUUCGUG
rnacentral:rRNA from 1 species